UACGUAUGGAGCAAGCGUUAUCCGGAUUUACUGGGUGUAAAGGGAGCGCAGGCGGCUUUGCAAGUCUGAUGUGAAAGGCCGGGGCUCAACCCCGGGACUGCAUUGGAAACUGUAAAGCUAGAGUGCCGGAGAGGUAAGCGGAAUUCCUAGUGUGGCGGUGAAAUGCGUAGAUAUUAGGAGGAACACCAGUGGCGAAGGCGGCUUACUGGACUGUAACUAACGUUGAGGCUCGAAAGCGUGGGGAGCAAACAGG
rnacentral:rRNA from 1 species